GACAAGCAUCAACCAUGAACGCGCAUGUAAAUGAAGCAUUAAAACAAAAUGAGUCAUUAAAUGAAUAAAAUGCACGUGUAAAACAAAGUUAAGUAAAACUCGGAACAAAUGAAUUAACGCGUAUCUCUUAUCCUCUCUCAUCUCAGUCCUGUUCUGUUUCUUCCUCGGUGGCAGAGGCUGUCCUCGGUGGCAGAGGCUCUCCAAAAUCAAGUCAAACACCAAAAUUCAAACCGAAAUCACACAAUGAGUCUGAAUCCACCAACGGAUUUCCUUGAUUUUUCAUGGACUAUGCAAAUCGAAGAGAGAGCUUCAAGAACCCUAAUGCGAAAAUUCGAAAUUAAAUAGCAUCAGAGGGGGAUCGAGCCACCUCACAUUGGGGAUUUGAUUCCCCUCGUGAAGGACUACGCAAUGGUAACUCAAAAUUUCAAAAAGAAAGAAGAUGAUUGAAGUCUCACCGAAGCACACACCGACGUCAAAUACAACUUGAAGUUUUCUUCUUAUCCUCUUUCUCUUAUUCUUCUUCUUCUUCUCUGUGAUGUGAUUCUGCUUCUUCUGUGCGUUGCAAAUUGCGAAUCGAGAAUUGUUGUGAGAGUUUGGUGAUGAAUGAGUGUGGUUGAUCUUUGAGGAUUGAAGUGAUUGUUUGUGGAAGCUUGGUGAUGAAUGAGUGGAGAAGAUGAUGAUGAAUUAAGAUUGAUGAUGAGUUUCUGAAAUUUGGUUUGUGGAGGGUGAUUUGAGGAAAUCGAAAAUGUGAAAGAAAUGAGGAUUGAAGGUGUUGAAUUGUGAGAAUCUAAAAAAGUGAGAGUUGAAGCCUCUGAAAUGUAUGCUUGAAGUUUUUCUCAUUGGCUGCUGAAAUGUAAUGUAGAGCUGCUUUAAUGGAUUUGAAGUCUUUGGCUUAGAAUCAUGCUUUUGAAGAUAUGGGCCAGUGAAAUGGAGCUGACUUGGGUUGCUUGUGGGAUUUGGAUUCACUUGGAAUUGGAUUAGCUAUGAAAGAAUGGAUUUGGGAUUUGCUUGGAAUAUGGACGAGUUUUAAUCAUGUUGUAAAUUGGUUGUAAUGUAGGGUUUAUGUAAAAAUGUAUGUUGCAAUUUGUAUGGCAUUCAUGGUUAUGUAAAACGUAUUGUGAUAUUGAAUGAAUUUGUAUGAAAUGGUUGUAAAGGUUUUUUGGAAAUUGAAUGAAUUUGUGUUUGGAAAAUUGACGAUGAA